GCUCUGUGAGCGGCUGAUGGUCAUUGUAGGCUGGGGCUGUGAGGGUCCAUCCUGCACCUUCACUUCAUGCUGCACCGGUGGCCCUGGGGGCUUCAGAAAGCUGCCUGGUUUGUGGGCUACCAACAGAGGCCCCCAGAGAAAGCAGAAGAAAGAAAUGUUCAGUUCCUGUUUAUGAAACUCAUUGUUCCUCCUCUCCACACUGUGAAAGUCUCCUCAUUCCUCUUUAUAGGCACCAGAGCCUACAGGGGCAGCCCCAGUUUUUACAAAAGGACUCAGAGGACACGAUCUGGUCAGAGAACCCAACAUCGGGAUUUGCUGAUAGCUGUGUUGUAUAGCCGAUCCUCAACUUUUAUUCAAGUUGUAUGCUUAUUCGGGUUUACUUGACGUACUGAAGAGGAUUAGGGAAGGACUGAAAACCUUCGAAAUCAGUCUUCGGGCUACCAGUGUGGAUUCCAGGCCAGACCUGAGCUCUCCUGAGAUGGACCUUGGCCAACGCUGUUUCUGCGUGCCUUGCGCGCCACCUUGUGGUGAUUCGUAGUAUUGCGCCACGACUGCCCUUCUGUCUUCACCCACAGUUCCCGCACAGCUGGAGCCCCUGGGGAUCAGGCCUAUUUGCCCAAUCAGACCCUAUUUCUGCCUGUGGGCAUCCUGUAGAUUCAUUCUGAUGGAGGUGGUGGAGGGUGGUGGUUCCAGCUACAUUUGAAGGGAGGAUGGGAUAGCCUUGUCAACUUUGCCUAGACUCUCCUGGAAAAUUCCAAGGCUCCACUUACCCUGAUGAAGAUGAGAGUGUUGGAGUCCCCUACUCGGUACUUCCCCUCAGAUAUCUUGACCAUGGAGAACUGUACUGGGCAUGUGCAAUGGCUCACGAGCUUCUGCACCUGUGGGCAAUGGCAGAGACUCAGUCCUCUUCUCUGUCUGAGUACCCAAGUCCAUUCACGUACUGGGUCAAGCUAAAUGGAGCACCUGUCUGCCUCUAGACAGCCCCCUCCCCAAGGCCGGUGCUGAAGUCAGGGCUGGGGGCUGAGAGAUGGACCAGGGCCGGCGCCGCCACACCGAAACGCCAGGCGCGGCGACCCAGCUCCAGCAGACACAACAGCACGCUCUUCACGUUCUUGCGGAGCACCAGGAAGGAUUUACUGUGAGGUGAAGAAACUGAUGCACAGAAAGAGGAGCUACCUCAUGGAAAAAUCUAGAAGAAUACCUCAACGCCUGACCCCCGGACCCGGCUUAGCUUGAGCCUCCAAGGGAUGCAUGCCCCCAUGAGAUAAGGGUCUGAGACGGACGUGUUACCUUGGAU